GGUUAAGCGACUAAGCGUACACGGUGGAUGCCCUGGCAGUCAGAGGCGAUGAAGGACGUGCUAAUCUGCGAUAAGCGUCGGUAAGGUGAUAUGAACCGUUAUAACCGGCGAUUUCCGAAUGGGGAAACCCAGUGUGAUUCGUCACACUAUCAUUAACUGAAUCCAUAGGUUAAUGAGGCGAACCGGGGGAACUGAAACAUCUAAGUACCCCGAGGAAAAGAAAUCAACCGAGAUUCCCCCAGUAGCGGCGAGCGAACGGGGAGCAGCCCAGAGCCUGAAUCAGUGUGUGUGUUAGUGGAAGCGUCUGGAAAGGCGCGCGAUACAGGGUGACAGCCCCGUACACAAAAAUGCACAUGCUGUGAGCUCGAUGAGUAGGGCGGGACACGUGGUAUCCUGUCUGAAUAUGGGGGGACCAUCCUCCAAGGCUAAAUACUCCUGACUGACCGAUAGUGAACCAGUACCGUGAGGGAAAGGCGAAAAGAACCCCGGCGAGGGGAGUGAAAAAGAACCUGAAACCGUGUACGUACAAGCAGUGGGAGCCUCUUUAUGGGGUGACUGCGUACCUUUUGUAUAAUGGGUCAGCGACUUAUAUUCUGUAGCAAGGUUAACCGAAUAGGGGAGCCGAAGGGAAACCGAGUCUUAACUGGGCGUUAAGUUGCAGGGUAUAGACCCGAAACCCGGUGAUCUAGCCAUGGGCAGGUUGAAGGUUGGGUAACACUAACUGGAGGACCGAACCGACUAAUGUUGAAAAAUUAGCGGAUGACUUGUGGCUGGGGGUGAAAGGCCAAUCAAACCGGGAGAUAGCUGGUUCUCCCCGAAAGCUAUUUAGGUAGCGCCUCGUGAAUUCAUCUCCGGGGGUAGAGCACUGUUUCGGCAAGGGGGUCAUCCCGACUUACCAACCCGAUGCAAACUGCGAAUACCGGAGAAUGUUAUCACGGGAGACACACGGCGGGUGCUAACGUCCGUCGUGAAGAGGGAAACAACCCAGACCGCCAGCUAAGGUCCCAAAGUCAUGGUUAAGUGGGAAACGAUGUGGGAAGGCCCAGACAGCCAGGAUGUUGGCUUAGAAGCAGCCAUCAUUUAAAGAAAGCGUAAUAGCUCACUGGUCGAGUCGGCCUGCGCGGAAGAUGUAACGGGGCUAAACCAUGCACCGAAGCUGCGGCAGCGACACUAUGUGUUGUUGGGUAGGGGAGCGUUCUGUAAGCCUGCGAAGGUGUACUGUGAGGUAUGCUGGAGGUAUCAGAAGUGCGAAUGCUGACAUAAGUAACGAUAAAGCGGGUGAAAAGCCCGCUCGCCGGAAGACCAAGGGUUCCUGUCCAACGUUAAUCGGGGCAGGGUGAGUCGACCCCUAAGGCGAGGCCGAAAGGCGUAGUCGAUGGGAAACAGGUUAAUAUUCCUGUACUUGGUGUUACUGCGAAGGGGGGACGGAGAAGGCUAUGUUGGCCGGGCGACGGUUGUCCCGGUUUAAGCGUGUAGGCUGGUUUUCCAGGCAAAUCCGGAAAAUCAAGGCUGAGGCGUGAUGACGAGGCACUACGGUGCUGAAGCAACAAAUGCCCUGCUUCCAGGAAAAGCCUCUAAGCAUCAGGUAACAUCAAAUCGUACCCCAAACCGACACAGGUGGUCAGGUAGAGAAUACCAAGGCGCUUGAGAGAACUCGGGUGAAGGAACUAGGCAAAAUGGUGCCGUAACUUCGGGAGAAGGCACGCUGAUANNNNNNNNNNNNNNNNNNNNNNNNNNNNNNNNNNNNNNNNNNNNNNNNNNNNNNNNNNNNNNNNNNNNNNNNNNNNNNNNNNNNNNNNNNNNNNGCGAAGCUCUUGAUCGAAGCCCCGGUAAACGGCGGCCGUAACUAUAACGGUCCUAAGGUAGCGAAAUUCCUUGUCGGGUAAGUUCCGACCUGCACGAAUGGCGUAAUGAUGGCCAGGCUGUCUCCACCCGAGACUCAGUGAAAUUGAACUCGCUGUGAAGAUGCAGUGUACCCGCGGCAAGACGGAAAGACCCCGUGAACCUUUACUAUAGCUUGACACUGAACAUUGAGCCUUGAUGUGUAGGAUAGGUGGGAGGCUUUGAAGUGUGGACGCCAGUCUGCAUGGAGCCGACCUUGAAAUACCACCCUUUAAUGUUUGAUGUUCUAACGUUGGCCCCUAAUCGGGGUUGCGGACAGUGUCUGGUGGGUAGUUUGACUGGGGCGGUCUCCUCCUAAAGAGUAACGGAGGAGCACGAAGGUUGGCUAAUCCUGGUCGGACAUCAGGAGGUUAGUGCAAUGGCAUAAGCCAGCUUGACUGCGAGCGUGACGGCGCGAGCAGGUGCGAAAGCAGGUCAUAGUGAUCCGGUGGUUCUGAAUGGAAGGGCCAUCGCUCAACGGAUAAAAGGUACUCCGGGGAUAACAGGCUGAUACCGCCCAAGAGUUCAUAUCGACGGCGGUGUUUGGCACCUCGAUGUCGGCUCAUCACAUCCUGGGGCUGAAGUAGGUCCCAAGGGUAUGGCUGUUCGCCAUUUAAAGUGGUACGCGAGCUGGGUUUAGAACGUCGUGAGACAGUUCGGUCCCUAUCUGCCGUGGGCGCUGGAGAACUGAGGGGGGCUGCUCCUAGUACGAGAGGACCGGAGUGGACGCAUCACUGGUGUUCGGGUUGUCAUGCCAAUGGCACUGCCCGGUAGCUAAAUGCGGAAGAGAUAAGUGCUGAAAGCAUCUAAGCACGAAACUUGCCCCGAGAUGAGUUCUCCCUGACUCCCUGAGAGUCCUGAAGGAACGUUGAAGACGACGACGUUGAUAGGCCGGGUGUGUAAGCGCAGCGAUGCGUUGAGCUAACCGGUACUAAUGAACCGUGAGGCUUAACCUU
rnacentral:rRNA from 1 species